GAUGAAGAACGCAGCGAAAUGCGAUAAGUAAUGUGAAUUGCAGAAUUCAGUGAAUCAUCGAAUCUUUGAACGCAUCUUGCGCUCCUUGGUAUUCUGAGGAGCAUGCCUGUUUGAGUGUCAUUAAAUUCUCAACUACACUGACUUUGAAUUGGUGUGGCUUGGAUUUGGGGGGAAAAUUGUUGUGGGCUUUUUGUAUAAUCUGCUCCCCUGAAAUUGAUUAGCGGUACCUUUGUGGAACUGUCUACAGGUGUGAUAAUUAUCUACAUCUUAGACAUCUGCUGGAAUGCUGCUUUCUAAACCUUACUUGUAUUGACAAUCUCGACCUCAAAUCAGGUAGGACUACCCGCUGAACUUAAGCAUAUCAAUAAGCGGAGGA
rnacentral:misc_RNA from 1 species